rnacentral:lncRNA from 1 species
AUACAACCCACUGCUCUACAAACAUCUCUGAUAUCAACCUCAAUGGCCGAGCGAUUUGAAGAGAUCUCGCCAGUCUGUGAGAACCCAGAGUGUCUCUCCACUGACAUCGGCCUCCCAAUACACCAGGGUGAUAUUCAGCAUCCCCCAACCAAGGACACACCAGGCUGUGAUGUACUCACGGUUCAUCCACACCAAGGCUUAGACAAGGAACUGGUGGAGGCUGUAGCCCAGGACCAAGAUGGCUGCCGUUCUCAGUUACACCCGUCUGACAUUCCUCCGGUUAAACCUGAAGAGUCCCCGGACAUAGCGCACCCUACGGAGGACGGGGAGGACGAACUGGACCAGGGUCUCAGUGGAGGUCCACAGCGGCCUGGCGCAGACCCAGACACACGACCUCUCCGGGCAGACAGCAGCUGUUUAGCCACCGUGGCUGCCUUUCCAUUGACCAGUCAGAGGCCGCUGCUAGCCCGUCAUCAACCCCAUGAGUGGGCUUUGAGGCCUGAUCAGGGCCUGAGUAUAGCCCCAGACCCAUCAGGGGGUCCAACCCAAGCCCUUCCUCUGGGAAACCCCCACCCAUUAGGGACCCCGUGGAGGCUUGGGCAGGACUCGGACAGAGCCAGGGGCUACAGCGCGGCAGACGCCGGGGGGUCGGGUGGCAGCCCCCCGGCGCUGGUGAUCACUCAGGCAGAGGAGUCCUGGAGAGCCGUCCCACUGAACCGGUCCCCACCAGUUGGAGAACCACGGGGACCCACCAGGCCGACAGCCCUCCCUCUCCCCGCUGGGGGGUAUGUCCCGGGAGAGCCCAGCCCCAGCUCCAGCGACGGCGGAGACAUGGCCUGCUCUGACCUCAUGUCCCUCAGGAGCGACUCCUUAUCGAUGACCAGCGACGCCGCGGCCUCCGGGAGGGUUAGUCUGCACCGUUACACUGGUUAAAGUGGUACCAACACUGGGAAAGAAACCAGUGACAGAGACCUCUGAGCAGUGCCCGGAAUGUUACGGUUUAUUGGUAGAAGGGAUCUAACUCAAAUACAUGCACACAAGACUCGAUAAGAAAAUAUAUACCUAAGCAAUACUGGAUGAUCCAUGAGUUCCUAUUGUCCCAGAAGACAGCCAUUCUUAAGGAAAGAUAAUAGCUGAUGAUCCAUUUGGACCCCAAAGCACCAAUGCCCCCUCUUCACAAUACAUUAAUGUCCCCUGCAGAGCUGUCUGUUUUGAUUACUAUUUGUUAGACUUCUUGAUUCCUUGUUUGACCAUUCAAACUAUUGAAAGGUCAAUCAAUGUAAAAAUGUAGAAAUCCAAUCUCGGCAUUAUAAAACAUUUGUUUGCUUGAUCUGUAGAGCCUUAUAAAUGUAUUUAAUGCGGUUCAAUAUUGUGUUCUAUGUAAUCUCUUGCUCGUAUAAUCUCUUACACAGCAUAAGAGCAGAUGAAUAUAGCAACAAGCUAUAUUUUUUAUCUUCAACAUCGCUUCUUUCCCAACCUAUUUCCAUCCGCACAAUCCCCUUGCCCAGCAGUCCAUGACUCCAUCCCUUACACUUCUCAGCGAAAACAAUUUUUAAAGGUACAUUUGAACCAAGUCGGCGGGUUAAACUGCAGCCAGAGUGAAAAGGCUACACGCAGCAAGUGAAACACAGACAAAGAGAUCCCAGUUUAAUCCCCAUCAACCCCCUGGACCCAACAGCACCGAUACACCCCUCUUAACAAAACAUUCAUGUCCCCCUGCAGAGCUGUCUGCUUUCAUUAUCGCCCGGGGAAAAAGGAGUGCUUUAUCGAGGGCUCGCUCGAGGGAAUAUGGAACCCGUCGAACGAGCUCCUAGACUGCAGGGCAUAAUUCCCUCGACCCCUGGUGACCCCGGCGAAGACUCUGACAACAUAGGGCACCGGGCGGAAUGGCGGCCUCCUUUCACACUCGCCCGCCCGCUCCAAAUGGCUUUUUCAUUUUUCAAACAAUCACACGGCGACCGUGCUGAAUUGCAGUGUAGAUUACAUAAGCCAGGGGUUGCUGGUCGGAGAUAAGAGCUUUCUUUCUCUCUCGUUCAAAGAGCACAGCGAUUCUGAAACGUCGGUUAUCUUUCUCUCCCGUCUCAUUACAUUGUCUCACCGGAAUCUGAAGUUGAUUUCGUUUCAGCCACGGGCAAAUCUUUUGUCUAUUGAAAUCUUGUUUCAUAUGUUAAUCAGCUCAAGAUUCUUCAUUAGUUAC